UAGGGAAUCUUCCACAAUGGACGAAAGUCUGAUGGAGCAACGCCGCGUGAGUGAAGAAGGUUUUCGGAUCGUAAAGCUCUGUUGUUGGUGAAGAAGGAUAGAGGACAGUAACUGGUCUUUAUUUGACGGUAAUCAACCAGAAGUCACGGCUAACUACGUGCCAG
rnacentral:rRNA from 1 species